rnacentral:rRNA from 1 species
AGAGUGAACGCUGGCGGUAGGCCUAACACAUGCAAGUCGAACGGCAGCACAGUAGGAGCUUGCUCUUACGGGUGGCGAGUGGCGGACGGGUGAGGAAUACAUCGGAAUCUACCUUUUGGUGGGGGAUAACGUAGGGAAACUUACGCUAAUACCGCAUACGCCCUUCGGGGGAAAGCCGGGGACCAGCAAUGGCCUGGCGCUGAUAGAUGAGCCGAUGUCGGAUUAGCUAGUGUGAGGUAUGGCUCACCAAGGCGACGAUCCGUAGCUGGUCUGAGAGGAUGAUCAGCCACACUGGAACUGACGACACGGUCCAGACUCCGUACGGGAGGCAGCGAGGUGGGGAAUAGUUGGACAAGUGGGCGACAAGCCUAGACUCCGAGG